CCUUCCUUCAGGAUGAUGAUGAAGACCUGUGUUCACCACUACAGUGUACAGCAGCCCCGUCCACAUGAACAGCAGACAGCUGAGGAAGUAGUGGUAGUUACGGAAGCCCACACACUGGCCGAAGAACACACACCUUACUGUCAUAGCAGAGGGAGCACUGUGGGGGAGCUACAUGUGGAGCUGUACCUGUGGGUCAAGUAGAGGUGUGUUACAAUGUAAUAACUGCAGAUAACAGGUAAUGAACACUGGGGAAAUAAUAUUUGAAUGAUGAGAUCAAUCUCUGCUCCAUAACAUUUUCUGAAUAUCGCUAGCCUAAUUGAUGAGGUACCUCUGGCCAUCAUUGCGUAGUAUCAACACACAGUCAAGUGAUUAAAGCAGUCUGAACAGUUUGUUUGUCCUAAUGAUGAACCACUUUGUCUAUUUAGAUUACCUCCAGCCUUGCGUGAUACCUUCUAAGCCAAGAAACACACCUUUGAUGCUGGGCCUUAUUUUCACAAACAACGAGGGGUUCCAUGUGAUAUUUCCCAACAUGAAGUACUGCGCGAGGAGGUGCAGUCUUCCACACAGUAGACCACUGGGUCUUGUUCUGGUCCAGUUGGAGCGGCGCCUCGACCAGGACCAGUGAGCACGGGAGGAUGAAGCUGCAGAGUAACCUUGUGGAGAGAGAAGAGCAGCCAUCUGGCACAUGAGCUGGACAUCAAACCAGUGCAUCUGUCAAGUGGACAUGGACCGAGCAGCAGAACCCUGAAGGGGUAUUCAUGGUCUGUAGAUCCCGUUACAGAUGAGGAUGAUGAUAUUGAAAGUCUUCUUGCUCCACAAGCAAAGUAAAGACAGCGUCAGCAGCAGGGAGAGGAGGAAGAGGAAGAAGGGAGGAAGAGCAGGGCAUAGCCAAACAGACAGGUCCUCUGCAGGAUCCGGGGAGGUGGUUAUUGCUGAGGCUUCAGUAUCUUCUGCCUCUGUGGUACAAAGCUGAGAGAAUGAUGGGACAUCGGAGGCAAAGAGCAAGACAAACAGGAGGAGUAGGAGUCCCUGAGUCAUAGGGAGGCGUUGCUAAUGUGUGUACCCAGCACAGUACAGUGAAGGUGUCCUCAGUGUUCCAUAACAUCACCUACGGGAACCUCAGGACUCUGAUGAUGGCAUCGUCAUGGCAAUGACCUGGCCGGAUCUGGCAAAAGUGAUACACAUGCCAGUGGAUGACUGACAUGGAAGAGGCCAAAGCAAAGAUCAAUGCCUUCUCUACCCUCAUUUUCCUGCUGCAGCCCGAAGACUGCCUCAACACAUUGGUUGAGUUCAGUAGCCAUUGCUUAGCUUGUGAAAAUAUGAAUAAUGGCCAGAAUACUCCUUACAGUCCCUAGU